CUGCUCACUUCGGCAGCACAUCUCCUAAAACUGGAAUGGCAACAGAGAUUAGCAUGACCCCCGUAUGAAGAUGGCACACAAAUCUGUGAAGUGUUCUGUAUUUUU
ensembl:snRNA U6 U6 spliceosomal RNA